GGGAUUGUAGUUCAAUUGGUCAGAGCACCGCCCUGUCAAGGCGGAAGCUACGGGUUCGCUGUCAAGGCGGAAGCUACGGGUUCGAGCCCCGUCA
rnacentral:tRNA from 1 species